rnacentral:lncRNA from 1 species
AGGAAUGACAAGUAUGAGUAAAUUGAAAGAUAAAAAUAGAUUGAGAUUUUCAGCUCAGUCUUCCAAUCUCACACCAGAGAUUCACAGUUCCCAAUUAUACACCACCAGAGCACCUCAAGGAGAACAGAUCUCCUUUCUCUCUCACAACACUCAAACCCUAAAAUACCCAGAAAACCACGAAGGAAGAACAGAUCAAGCACUCAAGCUAACCCACUCACCAAAACCCCAAUUUCUGAACUCACAAAGAAGAAAAACGAAGGGAUUUAGGUCUGACUAGGGUUUUCUGUGUCUUACCCUCUUCCAGCCUCCAUGCCAACAUAUAUAGGGACUGAAGUCAAAGAUAGCCGGUGAAGGCUGUACCGGAGGGUCAAAGUCAGCACUGUACCGUGCACUUUGACCUCCAGCCAUAACUCAGUCAAGGCAGUACAAGGGAGGAAGAAGACAGACAAAGGAGCGGCGAAGAAGAGAGGGUAAGAGUUAGGGUUUCAGAGUGAGAGAAACGAAGAGAGAGAAAAUGCUAUUUAAGUGAGUCAAUGAACGGUCCAGAUUGAGCCUAAAAUCCAACGGAUGGAUUUGGUUCACAAAUGGGUUGGGCUCACUCAUAAAUGCCUUGGGCUUAACUCAAUGGUGGUGUAUAAGUGAUGGCAAUUGGGCUUUAUGGCCCAGAACAUAUUUGGGCCAAAAUCCAACAAUUCUCCACCUUGGACCAAAUGUGAAUCAUUAGUGAAAAUUUUAUAAAAAAUUUUUGGAAGUCAUCAUUGCUGAUUUUUGACACACCAGUAAGAGCACACAGUUCAUACAAGUAUAUCAAGUUGAAUUCACUCAGAAUACAACUUAUCUGCACUUUAAAAUAAAUGCAGUAAAGCAAUCACACAGACAGCACAAUCUUAGUCACACAGAAAAAAAAUUUAAACAAGCAAUCACAAAGAAAGCAUAAAUACCAAGUCACACAGACUACAAACUAGCACACAGCAAGUCAAGGUUUGGAAAGAAUGUUCAAGUUUUGCAAACAAGAACAGAAUUUUUCAGAAGGCAGACAUUUAGUUCCCAUGUCAGCUGGAUUGAACUCAGAUGGGAUUUUUUCAAGGUCAAUAAUCCCUUUUUCAACCACAUCCCUAAUGAAAUGGAACUUCACAUCAAUGUGUUUAGUUCUAUCAUGAAAAACAGGAUUUUUACACAGUUGAAUGCCAGAUUGACUAUCAGAAAAUACUACCACUUUGGAAUUAAGCAUAUCAACUUCCAACAACAGCCCUUUAAGCCAAAUGGCUUCUUUAAUAGCCUCAGUAGCAGCUAUAUAUUCAGAUUCAGUAGUAGACAGAGCAACAAUGUGUUGGAGUUGAGAUUUCCAACUAACACAAGCACCAUUUAAGGUGAACACAUAGGAGGUAGAAGAUUUUCUAUUGUCCCUAUCAUUGGCAAAGUUUGAAUCCACAUAACCACAGAGUUCAAUUUCAGUUUUGCCUUUUGAAAACAUCAAGCCAGUUUUAACAGUACCUUUCAAAUAUCUAAGCAGCCAUUUUAGAGCCUCCCAGUGAGGCAAACCUGGAUUAGACAUAUAUCUACUCAAGCAACUCACAGAAUAUGCAAUGUCAGGCCUAGUACUAACCAUCAAGUACAUAACAGAGCCAAUGGCAUUGGCAUAAGGCACAUUUUUCAUUUCAGAGAUUUCAGGCUCAGUCUUGGGAGACUGAUCCUUACUUAGCAAAAAAUGAGGAGCAAGAGGAACAGACACAGGUUUGGCAGACAACAUAGAAAUUUUUUCAAGGAUUUUCUCAAUAUAGGAGGAUUGAUUCAGAAACAGAGUACAGCCAGUCCUAUCUCUAAUUAUGUCCAUGCCAAGAAUUCUUUUUGCAUCACCAAGAAGUUUCAUGUCAAACUCAUCACUAAGGCAUUUAAUCACAUGAUUAACAGUUUGAAUGCAAGGACUAGCAAGAAGCAUGUCAUCCACAUAGAUAAGCAAGAACACAGGAAUUUUAGCAGAUUCUUUAAAGUACAAGCAAGGAUCAUAAGAACUCCUUUUAAAUUUUAAAGACAUCAUGCAUGCAUCAAAUUUCUUGUUCCACUGCCUAGGUGACUGUUUCAGUCCAUACAAAGAUUUCUUAAGGAGGCACACAUAAUCAGGAUGUUUUUUAUCAACAAAACCCUCAGGCUGGCACAUAUAAAUUUGCUCAUCUAGAUCACCAUGCAAAAAAACAGUUUUCACAUCCAUUUGUUUUAAUUCCCAGUUAAAGUGAGUAAUUAAAGCAAGCAUGAUUCUAACAGUGGUGAAUUUCACAACAUGAGCAAAUAUUUCAGUGUAAUCAAUACCUUCCUUUUGGGUAAACCCCUUAGCCACUAGCCUAGCUUUAUAUCUAACAGAGUCAGAUUCAUGUUUAACCUUAAACAACCACUUACAGUCCACUAAAGAGCAUGCAGGAGGUUUAGGUACAAGAAUCCAAGUAUGGUUAACAUGUAAGGACUUCAUUUCAUCAUUCAUAGCAUUUAACCAUUCAACAGACUCAUCAGAAUUCAAAGCUUCCCUAUAAGACUUAGGUUCAUUACCAUCUAGAGAAUCAAACACAUGAAACACAUGAGAAGCAAGUUGAUAAUCAUUCAAAUGAGGGGGCCUAACAAUGUUUCUUCUAUCUCUGUCCCUAGCAAGUUGAUAAUCACUAAGAUCAUUCACAGAGGGAACAUCAAGAUUAGCAUUUUGAUCAAAAACAGUGUUUUCAGGCAUCUCAUUAUUAACAACUUCAUCAUCAGAGUUUUCAUUUUCAGUUUGAACAGAAUUAACAGGUGGAAUCUCCACCUCAGAUGAAGUGGUAUCAGGUGAAACAAUAGUAGGAGCAGAUAAGCAUGGAAAUUCAUUUUCAUUAAACACAACAUUCCUGCUAAUCACAGUUUUAAAACCCUGAUCACCAUACAACCAACAUCUAUACCCCUUAACCCCUUCAGGGUAUCCUAAGAAAACACAUUUCACAGAUCUGGGGUCAAGUUUAUCAAGUUUUUGAUGAACAAACACAGUACAACCAAAAACUUUCAAAUUUGAUAAAUCAACAGGUUUACCACACCAUUUAGAUUCAGGCAAUUCCCCAUUUAAGGGCACAGAAGGAGACCUAUUUAUCAAAUAAGCAGCAGUAAGAACAGCUUCACCCCAAAAAGGUUUUUUCAAGCCAGAAGAAUUUAGCAUAGACCUAACUCUAUCAAGCAAAGUUCUAUUCAUUCUUUCUGCAAUACCAUUUUGUUGGGGUGUGUACACAACAGUUUUAUGUCUCUUAAUGCCAGAUUCAGAACACAGAGUAUCAAAUUCAGCAUUACAGAAUUCAGUUCCAUUAUCAGUUCUCAAAGUUUUGAUUUUCUUCCCAGUUUGGUUUUCAAUCAAGAUUUUCCAAUUUUUAAAUCUUUCACACACAUCAGAUUUAUUCUUGAGUAAAAACACAAACACUUUUCUAGAAAAAUCAUCCACAAUAGACAGAAAAUAUCUAUUACCACCAUGAGAAGGAACUGGGGCAGGGCCCCACACAUCAGCAUGCACAUAUUCAAGUAUAUCUGAACAUUUAGAAGAAUUGGGGAAUGGAGAAACAGGAAAUUUAACUUUGGUUUGUUUUCCCAAAAUGCAUGAGUCACAUAUAGGCAAAUUGGUCACACAAUCAUCACUCAGAUAAUUAUUCUUAUGCAGAAUUUCAAGACCUUUACCACUUAUAUGACCUAACCUCUUAUGCCAAAGAAUAGACAUGUCAUGAUUAACAGUGUUGGCAUGCAAAACAGGUUCAGCAGAACACACAUAGAGAUUUUGCAUUCUAACAGCUUUGAAAACAAAUUUAUCAUGCAUCAUGAUUCUUUGACAACCAUCUCCCCAAUUACCAUGCAGACCACUAUCUUCAAGAAUAGCAACAGACAAAAGAUUACUGCUAAGUUGAGGAACAUGCCUAACAUUCUUAAGAAUUAAUUCAAAACCAGAUUCAAAUUUUAGGCAGAUUGUUCCAAUUCCAACUACAGUUCUUUCACUGUUAUCAGCCAUAGACACAUUUCCAUUUUCAAGUUUCACAUAAGAAGAAAACAGAUGUCUAUGAGGUGUCAUAUGAUGGGUGCAUGCAGAGUCAAAAAUCCAAUCAUUGUCACAUAGAGAGGAGAUCACAGAGUUCACAUAAUCAUGCAUUACAUCACCAACCAUAAACACAUCACCAAGGUUAUCAGUCACAACAUUAGCAUGUUCAUUGGUUCUUUCCUUUUUAGGCUCAGAACACUCAUUAGCAUAAUGACCAUUUUUACCACAGUUAUAACACUUUCUGCCUUUGGCUUUAAACUUAUUCCACCCCUUGCCCUUUUUAGGUUUUUGUAAAGACUGGUUUUGGUUACUAGAGGAAGCCUUAUUUUGAAAUCUAUUUUGAAAAUUGUUUUGAAACUGAUUUUUAGGCUUCCCUUUCACAAAGUUGACUUCACCAAAAGAUUUACUACCCUUGGUAGCUUUUAAAUCCAGUUCUUUGCUUUUUAAACCAUUUAUCACAGUGUCCAAAGAAACCUUAUCUCUGCCAUACUUAAUGGCUGAUUUUACAUCACUGUAAGUAUCAGGGAUAGCAUUUAGCAAAACAAUAGGAGAAUAAUCAUCAAUAUUUUUGUCUCCAGUCAGUUUAAUAUCCUGAACCAAUUUUGUAAAAACAUCAAGGUUUUCAUCAAUGUCUUUGUUUAAAUCCAGUUUGAACCUAAAGAAUUUUUCCAACAAAAACAUUUUGGAGGGCAAGGAGGUUUCAGUAUAAAGUUCUUCCAAUUUAUCCCACAAGACUUUAGCAUUAUCUUGUUUUCCUAGUUUUCUAAUCACAGAGUCACUUAGGUUCAAGAUAAUCAAAGAAUAGGCAAGUUCAUCAAAUUCUGCCUUUUUGGCAGCAGUAGUGUUAUCAUCAUAUGCUAAUGUAACAGCUUUAAAACAUUUUUGUUGCACUAAAACACCUUUUAUUUUCUGUUGCCAAAUAGGAAAAUCCCCUUUUCCAUCAAAAGGAGCUAAGGGAUAAGCAUUCAUAGUAUCACACAGAUAAGAGGCACAGAAUCACACAGUCACACAGAAUCACACAGAAAAUUACAGAGUAGAGCAAAAAACAAGUCAGAUUGCCCUCCCCUUUCCAGAUUCCUGCGACACUAGGCGGUCCGGACAAGAAAGGGUGGAUGAGAGCAAUCCUUAUCUACACUAAGUGCGGAAAAAAGCAAGUAGAAGAGAGGGAAAGAUCAAGCAAGGUCAAGUAAUGCCACACAGGGCCACAUACUGCCACACAGGGCCACCACGCCACACAGGGCCAACUCAAUAGCCACACAGGGCUCCCAAUCUCCACAGGUCAAAACGAACAGGAAACGAAAAUUAGGGUUUCAGAGGUGUUACCUUGACAAAACCAAGUUAGGUUUUGAAAAUUACUCCGCUUUGAGUAGAGCUAAGCUAUAGCCAUAGCUCUGAUACCACUGUAGGGUAUCAAAUCACCAAGCUCCAUUCAAGCCUGCUAUAGAUAUAUAUGAAUCCCUCUUGGCAGUAUUGAUUACAGCCAAGAAGAAUAGAUAUAUGUAUAUAUAGGUAUGUAUAAGAUACAGAAACAGGAAUGACAAGUAUGAGUAAAUUGAAAGAUAAAAAUAGAUUGAGAUUUUCAGCUCAGUCUUCCAAUCUCACACCAGAGAUUCACAGUUCCCAAUUAUACACCACCAGAGCACCUCAAGGAGAACAGAUCUCCUUUCUCUCUCACAACACUCAAACCCUAAAAUACCCAGAAAACCACGAAGGAAGAACAGAUCAAGCACUCAAGCUAACCCACUCACCAAAACCCCAAUUUCU